rnacentral:lncRNA from 1 species
UAGGCUACUAUACUAUCUAUAGUACCGAGCUCCGAUACUAUAGUGUUGGUUUUCGAUCUUAGGGCGUUCAAAUCAACGAUCCACACCAUUAAAACUGAUCUAGGGUAUUUAAAGUUUCUAGAAAUAAAAUUUUAUAUUUUUUCGACAUAGUUUACUUCAUGAUCAAACUAUUUCAAAAUUGUCAAUUUUCAAUGGCUAUUAUGACGAGUUUGGAGUUUAACGGUGUAGAAGAAUCUAAAUUUCUUCAAAUUUUGAUAGAAAAUACUUUAAACUAUAUAGAUUAAGGUUAACAUUCUUGAUCUUGAAUUUAAAAAUCCUAUACUCAAAUUUUAAAAAUUAUUCAAUUUUCACCGUCCAUUUUGAUAUAAUUUAUUUACUAAGUAAACGAUAUCGAAAAAUACUAAAAUUUUAUUCCUAAGAAAUUCAUAUACCCUAGAUCAUAUUUAACG